rnacentral:lncRNA from 1 species
GGACGGACAGUGCUCGCUCCCCGCUUCAUGGCGGCCGGUGACCCUCACCCACGUCGAAUAUCCUGCAGGUGAUCUCUCUGGCCACCUCCUUGCCUACCUGAGCCUCAGCCCUGUAUUUGUCAUCGUCGGUUUCGUGACCCUCAUCAUAUUUAAGCGGGAGCUGCACACGGCCCCCACACAGCAGUGGGCACCAAGUACGGGAUGCCCUCCAGCCAUUCCCAGUUUAUGUGGUUCUUCUCCGUCUAUUCCUUCCUUUUCCUGUAUUUAAGGCCUGUCUCCGAGUUCUUCCUAAUCCGAGACACAAGCCUCAUUCCCAACGUACUCUGGUUUGAGUACACGGUAACCCGGGCAGAAGCCAGGAACAGACAACGCAAGCUGGGGACGAAACUGCAGUGACCAGUGGGUGUGGCUGGGUCCAGCCUCCAGAUCUGGCCCGCACGAUGCCUUGCAGGAUGGACAGGAUGACAGACAGGGACGAAGCAGAGACCUCUACAGACCCAAGUCACCAAGUGGAGCCUUUUUUUUUCUUAUUUUAAUUUUAAUGAACAAGGUGGACCAAAGGGCUGAACCAGCCCCUCAACCAGGACCCUGGGGGGCCUGCUGCCUGGGGGCCGUGGCCAGAGACCCUCGCUGUGCUGCUGCCAGCCCCUGGCUGGGCAGAAAGUGCCCUCGGCAUGGGCACCUGGGUGUGGGGUGGAGGAGGAGGGCUCGCGCCUCUGGUCUCGGGGCCAGGAAUUCCAGGUGGCGUGAGAAGUACACACUAUUUAUUUUUUGGUUUUGUCAGAGGCAGGCAGGAUUUUGGAGCUGGAAGAAUCUGCUCUCCGGUGGCUGCCCUGUGAACAGAGGGCUCCCGGUCAGCUUCCCAGGCCCUUCGCCCUAUGCCCAGAGGGCAGACUGCCUCUCCCUGGGCC